rnacentral:rRNA from 1 species
AUCGAACGCUGGCGGCAGGCCUAACACAUGCAAGUCGAGCGAGCGGCGGACGGGUGAGCAAUGUAUGGGGACUGCCUGAUAGAGGGGGAUAACUACUGGAAACGGUGGCUAAUACCGCAUACUAUCGGAUAACCCAUAUGGGUUUAGCUAGUAGGUGGGGUAACGGCUCACCUAGGCGACGAUCCCUAGCUGGUCUGCGAGGAUGACCAGCCACACUGGGACUGAGACACGGUCCAGACUCCUACGGAGGCAGCAGUGGGGAAUAUUGCACAAUGGGCGAAAGCCUGAUGCAGCCAUGCCGCGUGUAUGAAGAAGGCCUUCGGGUUGUAAAGUACUGUCGGCGAGGAGGCGUUACUCGCAGAGGAAGCACCGGCUAACUACGUGCCAGCAGCCGCGGUAAUAC